rnacentral:lncRNA from 1 species
AUACUUGGUGGAUGGCUUAAGCAUGGCCGAUCAAGGUGGUCCUUCAAUUGGUGAAUCCUCUGAUGGGGAAGUUGUAUUUCUAUGAGAAGCAGUGAUGAAAACUAGAUAUCGAUUAGGAGUGCUCAGGGUCGGAUGAGGUAAUUUGGUUGGACAAGUCAUAAGAUUUUAGAGGAGAAAUUGGAGAAUCUCCGGCUACAUUUUAUGUAGGUUUUGGAGUUAUAAGAGGAAU